UACGUAGGGGGGCAAGCGUUGUCCGGAUUUAUUGGGCGUAAAGAGCGUGUAGGCGGCCAGGCAGGUCCGCUGUGAAAACUCGAGGCUCAACCUCGAGACGUCGGUUGAAACCACCUGGCUAGAGUCCGGAAGAGGAGAGUGGAAUUCCCGGUGUAGCGGUGAAAUGCGCAGAUAUCGGGAAGAACACCCGUGGCGAAGGCGGCUCUCUGGGACGGUACUGACGCUGAGGAGCGAAAGCGUGGGGAGCGAACAGG
rnacentral:rRNA from 1 species